rfam:Mycobacterium triviale strain HMC_M3 PROKKA_contig000009, whole genome shotgun sequence.
CAGGCUCCGGUUCACGCCCUGCUGGGCGACCCGGACC